CGGCUACAGUUACCUACUUCAUCAGCCAUGGUGACAUCUGAUGAACUAUUAGCCUAGCCCCCGUGGCUAGAAGAGCGACAUCUCAGGUCAAGAGUCAGAAUGGCAAAACUGCUGGAAGUCUCCAGGGACGGAAUAGGAGGAAAGUCCAGGUGAUGGUGUGAUGCUGUUUGACGGACCUAUUGUUAAAUUUGGAUGUGCAGAGCAGCUCUCCAUCAUCAAGAUGAAAUGGCACAUACAAGGUCACCCUCAACCACGUUCUAGAAGCACAAGAAACUUUCAUGAGCAAAUGGCUCCAACUCUCGUGGCCCCUAAUCUUGCUGUAAUGCCACCUCUUCCUGGACCCACACAUAUAAGGGACUACCUUAUGGACAGGGACGAAACAGUUCAAGAGUGAUUUACAAAUGAUUAUGCAUAAUAUACUGGCAAUGGCCAUAAAUAAAUUGAUGCAGCAUUAGAGUUUUCCACACUGUUGGCCAUGAAGGACAAGUAGGAAGAUAAAUCUUCACAAUAAGCAGAACUUUGAGAAGUACAUCUAAUUGUAUAUUUUACCUAGAAAGAAAGAUCAUCAUAGUGAAGAUUUAUACAUAGAGCCUAAAGGUUUGUUUCAAUGAUGAGCAAGUUGGAAGCAACAAGAUUGGAUGACAAGGAGGUUUAGGGUAGAGGUACACGUAUACACCUCUCAAAAUAGGUUCACGCUGUGAGAAUAUUGCGCCUCAUGUGAAUGCUCAGCAAAGAGCUCUCACUACAGAGGAGACUCAAUAAUCAGAUGGGCAGGAAGCUCAGUACUGCAAAUGUCAGCUAUCCUUUCUCCCCAGAAACACGACUAUUCCUCAGUAGGUUCAAAAUCAAAGUGGCCGUGGUGACAGAGAUGGAGGUUAUCCAUGGGCUCAGCCACGAGAACUUGUUACCAAGGCAGAUCCAGCAACCACCUCAAUUGAACGCUUAAAAUGCCAGCAGCAGAAACCCAUGCUGAGCCCUCCAUACAGCUCCAAGUGUGGGGAACAGGGUGGCGUGGCUAGCCUCCUGCUGACUGAUUAUACUGAACCUCUUUCACUGUGGACUUGGUAGCAAUUUUUCUCACUCGAAUAUGUUAUGCAUAUAGAUUUUACUUCCCUGUUAUGCUUCUAUGAGCAAAACUUUCUGUGAACUUACUGAAAGCUUAUUCAGCCCACAGUAAUCCAUAUACUAUUACUUCUGGCCAAGAGUGCUAUAGGAUUCCCACAGGAUUCAUUGGUUUUACCGUAACCCAGGAGGAGCUGGCCUUGUAGAGAAGUGCAAUAGUCUGUUACAAAGACUCACAGAGCCAGCUGGAGGACAUCUUAUGAAGUUGGGGUACUGGCAUAGAGAAAAUGGUGUAUGCUCCAAAUCAAUAACCAAUAUAUGGUGUGUUUCACCCAAGGACAGAUCACAUGGAUCCAGGGAUCAUAGGGAAGAACUGGGAGUAGAACCUCUCAUACUACGCUUCCUCCCCUUACUGAGAGUGCAUUAAGGAAGCUAUAAAUCUAGCCUCAUAAUAGUUGCAAAAAGGGGAGCUGUGGUCAAUAUUUAUAUUCUCUUGCUUUCAUGGUAGUGUAUAUGUUCAUACAGUAAUCUAUUUGUUUUUUCCCCAUCUCUUUUCACCUAUCAUUUUACCUAGGCUGUGUCGGUGGUGAUGAUCUUUAUAGUUUAGUCCGUGAAUAAUAUAUAUGUAGCUUUCGCAAAACUUAUCAAAUGUCAUCUUCUUUUUCUUAUUUAACUGUCUACACAAUAAAUUCUUUCUAGAAUUAAGUUCUAAGAAUGAGUCUGCACUUCCAGAUGAAUUUACACACUUUACUGACUCAUGAGAACAGUACAAUCUAGCAUGUUCCUCUUUCAAACUGGUU